UUACUCUCCUGGCUUGAUAUUACACUAAGUGGCAUUCUAAGGUGGUUCACCCAGGGCGAGGCUAAUCCAUUGCACUACAGUUGCGCUAACCCCUGCGAAUACUCCAAAUGUGGGAGUAUCUGCAUAAUUUCUGGUAGUGGGGGACUGCGUAUACGCACUCUCCCC